GUGCCAGCAGCCGCGGUAAUACGUAGGGGGCAAGCGUUGUCCGGAAUUAUUGGGCGUAAAGAGCGUGUAGGCGGUCCGGUAAGUCAGCUGUGAAAGUCAAGGGCUCAACCCUUGAAAGCCGGUUGAUACUGUCGGGCUAGAGUCCGGAAGAGGCGAGUGGAAUUCCCGGUGUAGCGGUGAAAUGCGCAGAUAUCGGGAGGAACACCAAUGGCGAAGGCAGCUCGCUGGGACGGUACUGACGCUGAGACGCGAAAGCGUGGGGAGCAAACAGGAUUAGAUACCCUAGUAGUCC
rnacentral:rRNA from 1 species